rnacentral:lncRNA from 1 species
GACAGUGGGCGGGACUAAGGGGGCCACCUGCAGACACACCCUGGCUUCGGGACCGUCUUCCUUCUCUUCCCCCUCGGGGCCUAGAGGAGGCCACGCGCGGGGUCUCCGAGCUCUAGGGUCCGGAGCUCUAGGGUCCUUUUAUGUAGCAAAGUCAGGCCUGGGAACAGAACUUCAUGUGCUUGUAAAAAGUCUCAGGUGCGUCCUCGUUGUUUUAGAGACUUGGAGAGGAAUGGGGGCGGGGGGAACAAAAUCCGAGGACAGUCGAGCCAAGAAAAGUCGGGGCUUCUAGGAUGCCAACCACGCCAAACAGAUCAAAACCAGGACUGGAGGACUGAAGAUGAAGCCGGCAAAAAGUCACCAGCCACGGCUCUUGUAAGGUAUGCUUCACCUCUCCUGCUAAGUCUUCAUCCCUGUCUAUGAGGACAAAGAAGUUACGGGUUAAAUUGGCGAUGGGCCAGGCGCUCCUUGAGGAUGCUCUAAAGUUCCAGGGAAUCUGAUGCCUUCUUCUAACCAUCACGAAGACAAGUUGGUGAUAGAAAAUGGGAGAACUGAAGACAACCACUUUAUAAAACCCUUGCCUGCUUGAAUUUGUGGUGAUGAACCGGCCCCUGGGAUUUGCUGCUCAGAACCUGAGUUCACUGAGACAUCAGGAGCAAGCACUGGAGGCCGGGUGCUGCUGGAUCCUGAUGGGAGCCAUGCAGGACUUGACCAUGGCCUGCACACACUUCUUCCCAGGAGAAGGGGAAUGAGGAAGGACUGGCCCCUGGGAUUUGCUGCUCAGUUCACUGAGACAUCAGGAGCAAGCACUGGAGGCCGGUGCUGCUGGACCCAGAUGGGAGCCAUGCAGGACUUGACCAUGGCCUGCAUACACUUCUUCCCAGGAGAAGGGGAAUGAGGAAGAACUGGACGAUGAAUUUUAACCUCCACACCACAAGCACUGGGGUAGAAGACUGCUGCUGGGUGAAGAAGAGACUAGACUUGAUCAUUGAGCAGCCACUCACUGAUAUCUUCAGUGCUGCAUGAGGAAGAGUUUAUUCUUCUGGAUUUGGUGGUGGAUUCUGGUGAAGAUACAGAUGGAUGCUCUGGCUGAGUCGCUACCUUGAAAUGAAAAUGGGAGGUAAACUCUCCCAUAGAUGAAUCUUCCUCAUUUUGAAGGUAAAGGGCUUGAAGGUGAGAGAAGGGUAAUCAAGGAUGGCCUUUGUGGCCAUAUGUGGUGUCCUUCUGCCAUCAUGUAUGCAGAGCUACAGUGCAGAGCCAUUACAGCUUCAUUCCCAUGAAUCCUAGUAGUGGGGACACAAUGCCAGAACCGGCCCCUGAGAUUUGCUGCUCAGAACCUGAGUUCACUGAGACAUAGGGAGCAAGCACUGGAGAUCCGGUGCUGCUGGACCCAGGUGGGCGCCAUGCAGGACUUGACCAUGGCCUGCACACACUUCUUCCCAGGAGAAGGGGAGUGAGGAAGAACCGGCCCCUGGGAUUUGCUGCUCAGAACCUGAGUUCACUGAGACAUCAGGAGCAAGCACUGGAGGCCAGGUGCUGCUGGACCCAGAUGGGAGCCAUGCAGGACUUGACCAUGGCCUGCACACACUUCUUCCCAGGAGAAGGGGAAUGAGGAAGAAAGGCUCAUGGCGUCUAUGUCGUAAAUGAGCUGUGGAUUUGCUAUGCCCCUUCUCUUCAGCAACCCUUAUUUUUCUUGCCUGUACAUCUCUACUGUGGGAAUCACAGGGAAGCUGCUGCAGCACAACUUGAAAUAGAAAGCUGGAUGGUAUGAAUUUAGGACAAGAACAUGAGAAGAAGGGCUCCAGAGAGGAUUCAUUAAGAGCAUUUUCUGCUCUUCCAGAAGCAUCCGAGUUUGGUGUGGGCACCCAAGUCAUUAGGCUCAGAGCUGCUUGGUCUGGAUCCCCUAGGGUUGCCACCAGGAUCACCAGAAAGUUUGUUAAAUAGAGAAGCACUUGAUAGAAGGCACCUGGAUAAGGAUGGACAGAAAUCAGAGGCCUUGGCUAUCUGGAUUCUGACUUCUUCAAAAAGAUGAGAUGAUAGAUGAGAGUGGGUGCCUUAGAUCUCACUUCCUUUUCUUUAACAUAUUUUUGUUGCUGGGAUGAGAUUCUAGCCAUUCCUAAUAUAAAUACUAUUGAAAGCAAA